rnacentral:rRNA from 1 species
UACGGAGGUCCCAAGCGUUGUUCGGAAUUACUGGGCGUAAAGGGAGCGCAGGCGGACUGGCAAGUCUAAAGUGGAAUCCCGGGGCUCAACCUCGGAACUGCUUCGGAUACUAUCAGUCUUGAGUUCGUGAGAGGAAAGCGGAAUUCAGGGUGUAGCGGUGAAAUGCUUAGAUAUCCUGAGGAACACCAAUGGCGAAGGCAGCUUUCUGGCGCGAUACUGACGCUGAGGCUCGAAAGCGUGGGGAGCGAACGGG